CUCAGUUCCAAAUACCAUCUGAUCACACUGGGCAUUAAGAUUCAAAAUAUGAGCUGGGGGCACACGAACACUGAAUAUAUAGCAUGAGCUCCUUCUUCAAUCCAAGGAGAGAAACCCUCACCAGAAACCAGCCAUGUGAGCACCCUGAUGUUGGACUUCCAGCCUCCAGAACUGGAAGAAAAUUUCUAUUGUUUGAGCCAGUCUGUUGUAUUUUGUUACAGCAGCCUGAACCGGCUGAGACAAGAGUGUUCUUUUAAAUAAGAGAGCUUUUAAAUUAACAUGUUUUAGAUAAGCAAACUGAAGUGGUGAAAGAUUUAAAUUUAUGCAUAUUUCUGGUAAUAAUACUGAUGAACACACCAGAGAGAUGACAAUUUCUUUGUUCUGAAAAAUUCUGCCUUCAGGUAUUACUUACAGUAAGAUAGUAAUUGCCAAAGAGAUUCUUUCUUGCAUUAAACUUUGCUUGAUGGCCAGGAUCAUGUGUUAUUGUUCUUUGAGCCCACAGGACCCAGUGUUGAAUACUACCCGUUUUUUGAAAUCUGGACACUAGUCUCAUGUCAUGAGCCUGCUCACAAAACACUUAUCAUUAUUACUAAACAUCUCAUCCAAGAGUUAAUGAAGUUCUUUCGCACACUAGUAAUGAAUUCAAGAUGAAGAAUAGGGCCAUCUGUUUUAUCACCAGAGUAAACAAAGUUACCAUCUCUAUUGACUCAUUCAAGAUGAAGCAUGAUGACAGUUUUCCUAGAUGCUCCUAGAGAUGCAAAUAAUCAGCUUGAAAGCAUGUUUCAUUGGGCAAUCACUCUCAGAAAGGCCUUCACACAUGGUAUCCUAGUUUUUCAAUAGAGCCCUCAACUCUACGCAUUCAACUAAUAUAUGAUCCCUCGACCUGAAUGCAAUGCAACCUCACUCCUAGAAGUGGGCACUGGGGCCCAAAAAGGGAGAGCUCCAGGAGAAGUCCUCUAGUCUUUCUCAUGGAGGUGGAAGGCAACGCCUAACGCUCAGAAAAAGUGUGGAAACCCCUGAGGUGUUCUCUUCUCCCUAGUCUCCUGUACUCCAGAAAUCAAGCAGUCCCCGUGGUGGUGAUGGGGAGGCCACAAUGGCAGCUAAAGAAGUCAGCGCUGUAAGGAAGGGAAACCUUUCUCUCUGAGUGGUGGAGCUGUGACCCCAAGAAGGUGGGACAAACCCCUACUGCCUUUUUCUCUCUCUCCAUCCUUCUGCUGCUUGCCCUAGAUAUCAGGCACAGUCAUAGAAGUAGCAGCAGAGAGAUAUAACUAAUGCUUCAGCUUGGUGUCCCACAGACCAAAAAAGGAGAGCACCAAGGAACUGAGAAAGGUCUGAGAGACUGUGCCAGAGACUGGAUAUCUGUGAUUCCCAAAAAUUCAUGUGCUGAAAUCUACUGCCCCAAAUGAUGGUAUUAGGAAUGGGGCCUCUGGGAGGUGAUUAGGCCAUGAGGGCAACGCUUUCAAGAAUAGGAUUAGUGCUUUAAAAAAAAACAGACUUCAGAGAGCUCCCUCCUCCCUUCCACCAUAUAAGAUAGCCACCUAUGAACCAGCAGUGGGCCCCCAUCUAACACUAAAUCUAUUGGUACCUUAAUCUUGGACUUCCCACCCCCUGGAAUUGUAAUAAAGAAACUAUGAAACAUAA
ensembl:lncRNA